rnacentral:rRNA from 1 species
AGCGAACGCUGGCGGCAGGCUUAACACAUGCAAGUCGAGCGGGCACUUUCGGGUGUCAGCGGCGGACGGGUGCGUAACGCGUGGGAACGUGCCCUCUGGUUCGGAAUAACUCAGGGAAACUUGAGCUAAUACCGGAUACGCCCUUUUGGGGAAAGGCUUGCUGCCGGAGGAUCGGCCCGCGUCUGAUUAGCUAGUUGGUGCGGUAACGGCUCACCAAGGCGACGAUCAGUAGCUGGUCUGAGAGGAUGAUCAGCCACACUGCGACUGAGACACGGCCCAGACUCCUACGGGAAGCAGCAGAGGGGAAUAUUGGACAAUGGGCGCAGGCCUGAUCCAGCCAUGCCGCGUGAGUGAUGAAGGCCUUAGGGUUGUAAAGCUCUUUUAUCCGGGACGAUAAUGACGGUACCGGAGGAAUAAGCCCCGGCUAACUUCGUG